CCCAUUAUCACUUGCUUUCAACGGCAGUAUUUCAUAAGACUGCAUGUUUAGGGAGGAAUGCACUGUUGCUUGGUAUAUCCAGUUUGGUUAAAGGAGGAAUGCAUUAAAAAUGCACCGCCACCGGUUUGUGUCAUGUGACUCAAAACAGAACUAAUAAAAAUGUGAAAUUUGAGGAAAGCAGUUAUUUCCAUUUAUCGAGGGACUUACAACUUCACCUGUGUGUGAACAAAAUGGAUUGGGUGGUCUAUUUGACAGCUACCAAGAUGAGUAGAAAAACACUGACAAUUGCAUUGUUAAGUUUAGUGUUUUGUAGCGCAUCAGCUGAGUCAGCAAACUCACCUACAACUGAAUCUAUGACUGUCACAUCAUACUCACCUGCACAAACGACACAAUUCUGCUUACAACUGACACAACAGCAUAUACAAUACUGUUCAACAACAACUGAAACUCUGUUUACAACCACUGCCAAACCAACACAAACACCUGAAUCAACAAACUCACCUAUAACUGCAACAACUGAAUCUACGACUGUUAGAACAAACACAGCUACAACUAAAACUCGGCUUACAACUACAAGCCUUCCUACAGAAAAAACAACACAACUCACAACUGAGCAAUCAACUACAUCUGAACAAAGCACCACAAUGCAGUCAGCAAAUUCAUCCCUACCUACAACAAGUACAGCUCAAUCUACAACUGAGGUUACAACAAACUCACCCACAACUACAACUCUGCUUACAACUACAGCUCCUCCUACAGAAACAACAACAACACAACUUACAUCUACGGCUGAACCAAAAACCACAACUGCUGCAACAUCUACAACUGAACCAAAAACCACAACUGCUUCAACACCUACAACUGAACAAUCAACUACAUCUGAACAAAGCACCCCAAAGCAGACAACAACAUCAUCCCUACCUACAACACGUACAGCUCAAUCUACAACCCUGGUUACAACAAACUCACCUACAACUACAUCUCGGAUUACAAUUUCAGCCCCUCCUACAGAAACAACAACAAAACUUACAUCUACAGCUGAACCAACAACCAUAACUGUUUCAACAUCUACAACUGAACUAUCAACUACAUCAGAACAAAGCACCACAACACAGACAGGAACAAAAUCCCUACCUACAACAAGUACAGCUCAAUCUACAACUGAGGUUACAACAAUCUCACCUACAACUGCAACUCUGCUUACAACUACAGCCCCUCCUACAGAAACAACAACAACACAACUUACAUCUACGGUUGAACCAACAACCACAACUGCUUCAUCAUCUACAGCUGAACCAACAACCACAACUGCUUCAUCAUCUACAGCUGAACCAACAACCACAACUGAUUCAACAUCUACAACAGAACAAUCAACUACAUCAGAACAAAGCACCACAACACAGAUGGCAACAAUAUCCCUACUUACAACAAGUACAGCUCAAUCUACAAGUGAGGUUACAACAAACUCACCUACAACUGCAACUCUGCUUACAACUCCAGGCCCUCCUACAGAAACAACAACAACACAACUUACAUCUACAACUGAACUAACAACCACAACUGCUUCAUCAUCUACACCUGAACCAACAACCACAACUGUUUUAACAUCUACGACAGAACAAUCAACUACAUCUGAACACAGCACCACAACGCAGACGGCAACAACAUCCCUAUCUACAACAAGUACAGCCCCAUCUACAACUGAGGUUACAACAAACUCACCUACAACUGCAACUCUGCUUACAACUCCAGGCCCUCCUACAGAAACAACAACAACACAACUUACAUCUACAACUGAACUAACAACCACAACUGCUUCAACAUCUACAACUGAACAAUCAGCUACAUCUGAACAAAGCACCCCAAUGCAGACAACAACAUCAUCCCUACCUACAACAAGUACAGCUCAAUCUACAACCCUGGUUACAAAAAACUCGCCUACAACUACAUCGCAGGUUACAACUUCAGCCCCUCCUACAGAAACAACAACACAACUUACAUCUUCUGCUGAACCAACAACCACAACUGUUUUAUCAUCUACAAAUGAACCAACAACCACAACUGAUUCAUCAUAUACAACUGUACUAACAACCACAACUGCUUCAACAUCUACAACUGAACAAUCAACUACAUCUGAACACAGCACCACAACGCAGGCGGCAACAACAUCCCUAUCUACAACAAGUACAGCUCAAUCUACAACUGAGAUUACAACAAACUCACCUACAACUGCAACUCUUCUUUCAACUCCAGGCCCUCCAACAGAGACAACGCAACUUACAUCUACUUCUGAACCAACAACCACAACUGCUUCAACAUCUAAAACUGAACAGUCAACUACAUCUGAACAAAGCACAACAACAGAGACAGCAACAACAUCACCACCACCUACCACAAGUUCAGCACAAUCGACAACUGAGGUUACAACAAACUCACCUACAACUGCAACUCUUCUUACAACUCCAGGCCCUCCAGCAGAGACAAUGCAACUUACAUCUACUGCUGAACCAACAACCACAACUGCUUCAUCAUCUACAAAUGAACUAAUAACCACAACUGCUUCAUCAUCUACAACUGAACAAUCAACUACAUCUGAAAAAAGCACCACAAUGCAGACAGUAAAAACAUCCCUACCUACAAGUACAGCUCAAUCUACAACUGAGGUAACAACAAACUCACCUACAACUGCAUCUCUGCUUACAACUACAGCCCCUCCUAUAGAAACAACAACAACACAAUUUACAUCUGCGGUUGAACCAACAACCACAACUGUUUUAACAUCUACAACUCAACCAACAACCACAACUCCGUCAACGUCUACAACUGAACAAUCAACUACAUCUGAACAAAGCACCACAAUGCAGACAGCAACAACUACUCUACCUACAACAAAUACAGCUCAAUCUACAACCCUGGUUACAACAAACUCAGCUAUACCUACAUCUCAGGUUACAACUACAGCCCCUUCAACAGAAACAACAGAAACACAACUUACAUCUACGGCUGAACCAACAACCACAACUUUUUUAACAUCUACAACUGAACCAAUAACCACAACUGUUUUAAUAUCUACAACAGAACAAUCAACUACAUCAGAACAAAGCACCACAACACAGAUAGGAACAAAAUCCCAACCUACAACAAGUAUAGCUCAAUCUACAACUGAGGUUUCAACAAACUCACCAAGAACUACAUUUCAAGUUACAACUACAGGCCCUCCUAAAGAAACAACAACAACAAAACUUACAUCUAUUGCUGAACCAACAACCACAAUUGCUGCAACAUCUACAACUGAACAAUCAACAACAUCUGAACACAGCACCACAAUGCAGACAGCAACAACAUCCAUACCUACAACAAGUACAGCUCAAUCUACAACUGAGGUUUCAACAAACUCACCUAGAACUGCAACUCUACUUACAACUACAGCCCCUCCUACAGAAACAACAAUAACACAACUUAUAUCUACAGCUGAACCAACAACCACAACUUCUUUAUCAUCUACAAUUAAACAAUCAACUACACCUGAACAAAGCACCGCAACACAGGCAUCAACACCAUCCUUACCUUCAACAAAUACAGCACAAUCUACAAACCUGGUUACAACAAACUCACCUACAACUACAUCUCGGGUUACGACUACAGCCCCUCCUACAGAAACAACAACAAGAAAACUUACAUCUACGGAUGGAUCAACAACCACAACUGCUUCAUCAUCUACAACUGAAGAAUCAACUACAUCUGAACAAAGUGCCCCAACACAGACAUCAACAUCUUCCUUACCUACAUCUCGGUUUACAACUACAGCCCCUCCUACAGAAACUACAACAGGAAAACUUACAUCUACAGCUGAACCAAAAACCACAACUUCUUCUUCAUCUACAACUGAACAAUCAACUACAUCUGAACAAAGCACCCUAACACAGACAUCAACAUCACCCUUACCUUCAACAAAUACAGCUCAGACUACAACCCUGGUUACAACAAACUCACCUACAACUACAUCUCGGGUUACGACUACACCCCCUCCUACAGAAACAACAUCAAGAAAACUUACAUCUACGGCUGAACCAACAACCACAGCUACUUCAACAUCAACAACAGAACAAUCAACUACAUCUCAACACAGCACCACAAUGAAGACAGCAACAACAUCCCUACCUAUCACAAGUACAGCUCAAUCUACAUCUGAGGUUUCAACAAACUCACCUACAACUGCAACUCUGCUUACAACUAGAGCCCCUCCUACAGAAACAACACAACUUACAUCUACGGGUAAACCAACAACCACAACUGUUUUAAAAUCUACAACUGAACCAACAACAACAACUGUUUUAAGAUCUACAACUGAACCAACAACUACAACUGUUUUAACAUCUACAACUGAACAAUCAACAACACCUGAACAAAGCACCACAAUGCAGACAACAACAACAUCCUUACCUACAAAAAAUACACCUCAAUCUACAACCGUGGUUACAGCAAACUCACUUACAAGUACAUCUCAGUUUACAACCACAGCCCCUCCUACAGAAACAACAACACAACUUACAUCUAUGGCUGAACCAACAACGACAACUGUUUUAACAUCUACAACAGAACAAUCAACUACAUCUGAACAAAGCACCACAAUGCAGUCAACAACAACAUCCCUACCUACAACAAGUACAGCUCAAUCCACAACUGAGGUUACAACAAACUCACCUACAACUGCAACUCUGUUUACAACUACAGCCCCUCCUACAGAAACAACAACCACACAACUUACAUCUACAGCUGAACCAACAACCACAACUGCGUCAACAUCUACAACUGAAAAAUCAACUAUACCCGAACAAAGCACCACAACACAGACAGCAACAACAUCCCUACAUACAACAAGUACAGCUCAAUCUACAACCCUGAUUUCAACAAACUCAGCUACACCUACAUCUCGGGUUACAAUUACAGCCCCUCCUACAGAAACAACAACAACACAACUUACAUCUACAGCUGAACCAACAACCAUAACUGUUUUAACAUCUACGGCUGAACCAACAACCACAACUGUUUUAACAUCUACAACAAAACAAUCAAUUACAUCCCAACACAGCACCACAACACAGACAGCAACAACAUACCUACCUACAACAAGUACAGCUCAAUCUACAACCCUGGUUACAACAAACAUGACUGUUACAUCAAGCUCAGCUACACAAACGACACAAUUCUGCUUAAAAGUGACACAACAGCUGAUACAAUACUGCUCAGCAACAACUGAAACUCUGUCUACAACCACUGCCAAACCUACACAAAAACCUGACUCAACAAACUCACCUGCAUCUGCAACAACAGAAUCUAUGACUGUUACAGUAAACUCAGUCCCUUCCACAGAAACAACAACAACAACAACACAACUUACAUCUACGGCUGAACCAACAACUACAACCAGAGCUCAAUCAACAACAACCCCAGGCACAACCCAGACAGUUUUUGUUAGUUUUUCCAGCAGUGAAAUUUUUGUCUCUGAUCUGUCAAAUCCAGCUUCAGAAGCAUAUAAAAACAGAGAAAAGAAUGUCAACGAUACGUUGACACCAUUCUUUAGAAAUGCAUUGCCCUCCUUCAAAGGACUGGCAGUUAUUCAGUUCCGUAAUGGGUCAAUCAUCACUGAUAUGAAUGUGACAUUUGGAACCUUACCCAGUGAUGUUGAGAUAGAAAACACUAUUAUGAAAGCUAAUGCCACUCUCAGUAUCACCAGUGUAACAAUAUGGAAGCCCUUCACCACAACUACCAAAGCCACUACAACCAGUUCCACUACAAUUACAACUACAACCACACCUAACACAACAACAGCAGCAGCAACAACAACAACCACAACAUCUACUGUCAAUCCUAUUACAACAGCAACAACAACAACAACCACAACAUCUACUGCCAAUCCUAAUACAACAGCAACAACAGCAUCAACAGCAACCACAACAUCUACUGCCAAGCCUAAUACAACAGCAUCAACAGCAACCACAACAUCUACUGCCAAUCCUAAUACAACAGCAACAACAACAACAACAGCAACCACAACAUCUACUGUCAAUCCUAAUACAACAGCACCAACAGCAACCACAACAACAACCACAACAUCUACUGCCAAACCUAAUACAACUGUAACAACAACACCCACAACCACAACAACAACAACAACAACAACAAAAACAACAACAACAACAACAACAUCUACUGCCAAUCCUAAAACAACAGCAACAACAACCACAAUAACAACAGCAGCAACCACAACAGCAGCACCAGCACGUCCUCAGCCAACUGUUGCCAUACAGAUUGUCAUUAUAGAGGUGUUUGUUCCAGCACUGAAAGACCCUCAAACUCCGGAAUUUAAAAGCCUAGCCACAAAAGUAAUAUAUAGUAAAAUUCUAAAGCAAAACUCUGAAUUCAGUUUUUACUUGCCUGAAAGUUUUGGGAAGGAACUUUUUUCAAAAUGUUAA
ensembl:lncRNA